rnacentral:rRNA from 1 species
GACGAACGCUGGCGGCGUGCUUAACACAUGCAAGUGGAGCGACGAACCAGGCUUCGGCCUGGGGCAGAGCCGCGAACGGGUGAGUAACACGUGGGUAACCCACCCCGGUGACCGGGACAACCCGAGGAAACUCGGGCUAAUACCGGAUGUACUGCUCUCUCACAUGGGAGAACAGGAAAGAUAGCUUCGGCCUUCGCACCGGGACGGGCCCGCGGCGCAUUAGCUUGUUGGUGGGGUAAAGGCCUACCAAGGCGACGAUGCGUAGCUGGUCUGAGAGGACGAUCAGCCACACUGGGACUGAGACACGGCCCAGACUCCUACGGGAGGCAGCAGUGGGGAAUCUUGCGCAAUGCGCGAAAGCGUGACGCAGCAACGCCGCGUGGGGGAAGAAGGCCUUCGGGUUGUAAACCCCUUUCAGUUGGGACGAAGCUUCGCCGGUGAACAGCCGGCUGGAGUGACGGUACCUUCAGAAGAAGCCCCGGCUAACUACGUGCCAGCAGCCGCCGUAA